GGGGUUGUGGCUUAGUGGUAGAGCGCUCACCUAGCACGUGUGAGGCACUGGGUUUGAUCCUCAGCACCACA
rnacentral:tRNA from 1 species